UGAACCUGCGGAAGGAUCA
rnacentral:ncRNA from 5 species